CGACAAUACAUGUCUCUUCAGUGAUGCUCGUGGCCAAAAUAUUUGAAAUCCAAAGCUUAUAUAAAAGAUGAAGAGAUAUAAUCCAAAAGGUCCAAAAAGUAUAGCCAAAUCCAUGAAAGGAAUCAGAGCUUUGCAUGAGGGAGAUACAUUCCUUAAUUUUUAAUAAUUUCUAUCAUUUUGUAACAGCAAAUUUUAAUAACAC
rnacentral:lncRNA from 1 species